rnacentral:rRNA from 1 species
UCGGGAAUUUUGGGCAAUGGGCGAAAGCCUGACCCAGCAACGCCGCGUGAAGGAUGAAGUAUUUCGGUAUGUAAACUUCGUAAAAAUAGGAAGAAUAAAUGACGGUACUAUUUGUAAGGUCCGGCUAACUACGUGCCAGCAGCCGCGGUAAUACGUAGGGACCAAGCGUUGUUCGGAUUUACUGGGCGUAAAGGGCGCGUAGGCGGCGUGGUAAGUCAGCUGUGAAAUCUCCGAGCUUAACUCGGAACGGUCAGCUGAUACUGCUGUGCUAGAGUACAGAAAGGGCAAUCGGAAUUCUUGGUGUAGCGGUGAAAUGCGUAGAUAUCAAGAGGAACACCUGAGGCGAAGGCGGGUUGCUAGGCUGAUACUGACGCUGAGUGCGCGAAAGCUAGGGUAGCAAACGG